rnacentral:rRNA from 1 species
UGGGGAAUAUUGCGCAAUGGGCGAAAGCCUGACGCAGCGACGCCGCGUGAGGGAUGAAGGUUUUCGGAUCGUAAACCUCUGUCAGAAGGGAAGAAACCGCACUGUGCUAAUCAGCAGUGCCUUGACGGUACCUUCAAAGGAAGCAGCGGCUAACUCCGUGCCAGCAGCCGCGGUAAUACGGAGGGUGCAAGCGUUAAUCGGAAUUACUGGGCGUAAAGCGCACGUAGGCUGCUUUGUAAGUCAGGGGUGAAAUCCCACGGCUCAACCGUGGAACUGCCUUUGAUACUGCUUAGCUUGAAUCCGGGAGAGGGUGGCGGAAUUCCAGGUGUAGGAGUGAAAUCCGUAGAUAUCUGGAGGAACAUCAGUGGCGAAGGCGGCCACCUGGACCGGUAUUGACGCUGAGGUGCGAAAGCGUGGGGAGCAAACAGG